UGAGAAACAUGGUAUACUACACAGCUAUGAAUUGGAUAGCUGUAACUCUUAUUGCAAGUAGACAUUGUAAGAAUUGUUCGAUGUAACAAGCUUAUUGGGUUUCUUUUUUACCGCUGUUAUGAGAAAGUAUAGCUUAAUCUGUACACAUGGUAUUUACACUGUAGGGACAAAGUAAAUAUAUGAGAUUUCCAUGGAAAUAAACAUUUCAGAGAAGAAGAGCUCGGAUAGGCGACACACAUAUCAUUUUACUUCUUUAAAGAUGCCGCCUUAUAACUAUAUCUAUCUGUACACAACUACAUAUGGCCAUUCAGGUUUAAAAGACCUUUCUUUACUCAACCAGUCUAUGGACAAUGUCAAGGUUUCGAUCAAUGGUCAUUCAAUCUCCGAACGUGCAGACAAAAAAGUUGGUCCUGUUGGCCUGGGUUCAUAUUGAUGAUUUUCUGCUGAGCUCUUAAAUUACAUUUAACACUGUGAAGCAUUAUACAAUAAGCUUAGAAUGCUAUUUAUAUCAGCAGAAGAUUAGGUGGAAACGGCUUAUUUGUCUCAGGAUUUGCUGGGCCUAAUAAGGGAUCAAUGAGAACAAAGAUACAAAAGUAGAAGAACAUGCACACACUGACACUUUAUGUUUGUUCUCUUACAAAAUGGUGAGUUCAUAUUUCUGUCCAGGAUAUUGUCGUAAACUUUAAUAUGUAGUCCUGGGGGUACCACUGUAUUUUCCUAUUUGACAUAUAUGAAUAUAAUACACUAUAUUAUGCCAUUGAAGAUGUAGCAGCAGGAUUGACAUUGUGGAGUUCAGUCAAAUACUUUUUUUUAAUAAAAAGUACAAGAACAUAUACAAAUGAUUGAAUCGUAAACAUAAUGCAAUGAGUUUUCACCAUUCAGGAUACAUUUUUUAUGAAUGAAAACCAUGGUAUAGUAUUCUGGGAUAGAGCAAACAUGCAAAGUUAUAUGGUCAGUUCUUCCUCUGUUGACAUUUCUUUAGUGUCUUCUCCGUUAGAUUUCAGAAUGAGAAACCUUGUGUUCAGUCGGAGAAAAUGAUUGCCAGUUGUGGAACCAAAAAGUUAGCCCAUGUGUGUGGGUCGUUGCCCCUAGCUGGACUCCGGUUCUUCAAUAUAGAGCUUCAAGCAAGUGUUUUGUUGUUCUGAUCAUGUCACUGCAACUCAGACGAAAUUUUGCUUACAUGACUCCAUGAGGCCUCUACUACAGAAGUUUUAUGCGAAGUGCAACAAGUUUAUGCUGCACAUAACCUGUAGUUGUGCACGUCAAUGUGGUCUGCACGUCAAUGUGCUCAAUUUGUUGGAAAUUCAAGCAUUGUUCCCAUAGCUAAGCCGAGAGAAGGGUUGAUAGGAAAAACUAAGCAUCAUCACGUUUCGUAUAAAAUAGUACCUCUUCUUUCUUUUUGGGAUGUAAAACAGUAGCUAACCGAACCAUUGUGCACUAAUAGUUCCAAUCUAGCAAGCCACUAUUGUUUGUACCAAAAAUCUGGUAUGCACAGUGCAACACGCCAAUGCUCGCAGCUGUUAUGUGCCAUCUCCGCAACUUCUGACCUUGUAAUAUACAAAAACUUGUAUGUUGAACUGCAGUUCCAAUACUAUAAGCAUUUAGUCUUAA